GGUGCUGUAGUGGUUAAGCACGGCUGCUAACCAAAGGGUUGGCAGUUCGAAUCUGCCCGGCACUC
rnacentral:tRNA from 1 species